UAGGUUGCCUAACCGCAAGGAGGGCGCUUCCUAAGGUAAGACCGAUGACUGGGGUGAAGUCGUAACAAGGUAGCCGUAUCGGAAGGUGCGGCUGGAUCACCUCCUUU
rnacentral:rRNA from 1 species